rnacentral:misc_RNA from 1 species
AAAAUGCGUUACCUAGUGUGACAUGCAUUCCCUCGUGAAUCACCGACAUCUUGAACGUAACUGACGGGGUAGGUUCAUUCCUGCCUCAAUCACGGGCGAGUGUCAAUAUUUCACCACAAAAUUGAGUUUUCGGUCUUUUACCUUAGAGAAAAAUACCGUAACUUUAAAUUUAACCGUAUUUCCGCUUAAAUUAUCGGUGAUAUUUCCCUUAUAGGGUUAUUUACCAAGUGGAUCCUCGGGUAUUUUUUCCAUACCGUGAAUUUAUUUACGGUCAUUUUCAACUGAAAGGGUAAUAUCUUUCGGUCUAAUUUGACCUCGACCGUGAUAGACUACCCGCUGAAUUUAA